rnacentral:lncRNA from 1 species
GGAAGGGAGUGUAUCCUGGUGUAUGACAGCAUAUAGUAGAGACCAUUGUCAGUUAGAGCCUGUGAACUGAGACAGGGUGACUGGCUAAGUCCACAACCCAUUAGAAACCCAGAAAUAAUCAAAUCAUGGCUCCUCCUUGAGUUAUUGGGAGUAAGUAAUGCUUCUCAAUAAAGCUUCGUGUCAACAAAUCUGAACAUAUCUCAGCUAGAGCAAGUUACUAAAAAUAGGCUCAAUUUGUAGCUUGCAGUCAUGCCUUCAUAACCACUUUUCAAUUAAUCCUGCUUAAUUCAGAGAAUGUAUAAAUAUGUAAUUUUGCAUCACUUUUAAGGCAGCCAUUUUACUUGGAAAUGCAACUAACAUUAUAUGCAUAAAUUCAAUAAAUACAAAGCUGUUUUC